GAACUGCGAUAAGUAAUGUGAAUUGCAGAAUUCAGUGAAUCAUCGAGUCUUUGAACGCACAUUGCGCCCCCUGGCAUUCCGGGGGGCAUGCCUGUCCGAGCGUCAUUACUGCCCUUCAAGCCCGGCUUGUGUGUUGGGUCGUCGUCCCCUCCGGGGGACGGGCCCGAAAGGCAGCGGCGGCACCGCGUCCGGUCCUCGAGCGUAUGGGGCUUUGUCACCCGCUCGAUAAGGACCGGCCGGGCGCCAGCCGGCGUCUCCAACCUUUUUUUCUCAGGUUGACCUCGGAUCAGGUAGGGAUACCCGCUGAACUUAAGC
rnacentral:misc_RNA from 1 species